CUGCCCCGUCAGUCAGUUUAAGGAACUGCUGUGAUCAGCUACUUCGGGAUUCAGCCAGGUUGUCUCUGGCUUAGGUUAAUACCAUCGAUUAUUCUCUUCCUGGACCUGCAACUUGCUUUGUGACAGAGCAAUAAGCUCCACACAAGAAGAGUGCUAACUCCAGACUCGGCCAGUCAGCGUGAAUAUGAGCCAGGCUUUCUCAGGUAACAGUCUGACAUGAAUUCUACGAAAUUCACGACGUUCCCUGAAAACACAACUGAGUCCGUCUUGGUCACCUCUACUUCCACCAUCACACCUCCUGCAAGUACUAGCACAAAUGUUCAAUCAGGUCUUUCUGCUACGGUAAGAUUUGGUUCGCUGUUGAACUUGAUUCAUUACAUUCUCCCAUUUCCCUAACAGUACAUUCCCCCUGUAGAAUCAGUCCUCUGUUUCCCCUGUAAAUACUGUUGUUUAGUGCUGAUGCAGCUGUUAAGCAUUUGCCGUGUUCCACCCCAGAGGUGGCCGUAUUUCUAUCCCUGAUGAAGUGCAUAUACAAUUAUUUUUAUAAGCCUUUUGGGAUCCCUCAGGAUGAAUGGCAACAUUUUAUUAUUCAUAUUUUUGUAUUGUAAGAGGAUUAGCAGUUAAGUUACUAUUAACAGCGAUUAAUAUCUUGUAUUGGCUUUUGAAAAAUAUAGUUGCUAUUUGUCAUGUAUAGGAUUAAAAAGGCAAACACAUGCACUAUUUACUUGCAGGCUUUUAAGGAAAUAGUUUCCUUAACAAUUCUAGUAGCUGUGUCUAGAUGAUGCAGGAAGCCCUAUGCUAAUGGUAUAAAAUUUUUUAUUAAGAUGAUGUUAAAAAAAAAGUGAAGAGUG